GCAGCCCACCAACCUGUGAAACCACAUGCCAGGAAAUGGCAGCAUCAUCACUGGGUUGAAUGCCAAAGUUCCAUCUUGUCUGCAGGAUGUAGACCACAGGCUCAGCGGAGAUAUUGAACUUGGAGAACCAGUACACCUCCAGAUGACCAGGGGGCACCUCCUCAAAGUCCAGCUCGUUCCUCGGUUUUAAAGGAACCCCUGCGAGAUUAAUGCUAAAACCUCCGCUGUUUUCCUCGCAAGAGAAUGAGAUUGUCCCUCCGUGAAGAACCACAUGUGCCGGUGUACCAAAAUCUGGAGACAAGCCUGCUCCGCGCCUCUGCAAGGCCUCAGGUUAUCGAUGGACAUCCUGCCUACAUGGUGAACAGGCUGCUGGAUGUGCGUCACCGUGGGAGGGGCUUCCAAAACCUGGUUGACUGUGUGCGCUAUGGCCCGGAGGAGCGGAGCUGGAUUCCUGCCCGGUCCUGUUUUGAGAAAGGUCCUGAUUCGUGACUUGCAUCGUCAGCACCCGGGACGCGCAUACCAUUUUUGUCCAUAUUGGCAGAAGAUGGAAUACAGCGAACUGGAAGGCGCGACAAGAAACGAGCGCAUAAGCUUCUUCUUGAUCCCGCUCUAAUCCCUCCCACUUUUGAUUGGUGCCUGCUGUAAAGGAAAAGCAAAGGAGGCCAGGCCAGGCCGAGCGAGGCCAGAGCAGAGCGGGGCCAGGUGAUUUUGGAACUUAUAAUGACAAAGUGGAAUUAGUGCACUAUGUAAGUUGUUGCUUUAUUAAGUUCAGCCCAUUUAUUCACAAUAGUUUACUGCCAAUCUGCCACAUCCAAUAUGGCACUGACGUAUUGUAGCAACUGGCCAACCUGCUCAAGGCAGUGUCUACAUAUACACAUCUAUGCGUUGAGCCCUGAGUCUAAAAAUAAAGCAUCGUCAGGCAGACAGAUUUCUUGCUCCUCAUUGAUGGUCUGUCCAUUGUGUCAUCAGUAUUUUGGGAUGAAAUAGUUCAUUGUCAC